rnacentral:rRNA from 1 species
GAUGAACGCUGGCGGCGUGCCUAACACAUGCAAGUCGAACGGACCUUGCUUUUUUGGAGUACUUGUACAAAGAAAGAGCGCUGGUUAGUGGCGGACGGGUGAGUAACACGUGGGUAAUUAACCUUCUAGACUGGGAUAACAACGGGAAACUGGUGCUCAUACCGGAUAAGAUUCAUUGGCGGCAUCGCCGAUGGAUGAAAAGAGGCCUCUCCAUGGAAGCUCCUGCUAGAAGACAAGCCCGCGGCUGAUUAGCUAGUUGGUGAGGUAAUGGCUCACCAAGGCAACGAUCAGUAGCCGGCCUGAGAGGGUGAACGGCCACACUGGGACUGAGACACGGCCCAGACUCCUACGGGAGGCAGCAGUGGGGAAUAUUGCGCAAUGGGGGAAACCCUGACGCAGCAACGCCGCGUGAAUGAAGAAGGCCUUCGGGUUGUAAAGUUCUGUCAAUUGGGAAGAAACCUCUGAGGUCAAUAGCCUUAGAGAUGACGGUACCUAAGAAGGAAGCUCCGGCUAACUACGUGCCAGCCGCCGCAGUAA